rnacentral:rRNA from 1 species
UCCGUAGUCGAAAGGGAAACAGCCCAGACCACCAGCUAAGGUCCCAAAAUAUAUGUUAAGUGGAAAAGGAUGUGGGGUUGCACAGACAACUAGGAUGUUAGCUUAGAAGCAGCUAUUCAUUCAAAGAGUGCGUAAUAGCUCACUAGUCGAGUGACCCUGCGCCGAAAAUGUACCGGGGCUAAAACAUAUUACCGAAGCUGUGGAUACCUUUAUAGGUAUGGUAGGAGAGCGUUCUAUGUGCGAAGAAGGUGUACCGUGAGGAGUGCUGGAGCGCAUAGAAGUGAGAAUGCCGGUAUGAGUAGCGAAAGACAGGUGAGAAUCCUGUCCACCGUAAGACUAAGGUUUCCAGGGGAAGGCUCGUCCGCCCUGGGUUAGUCGGGACCUAAGGAGAGACCGAAAGGUGUAUCCGAUGGACAACAGGUUGAUAUUCCUGUACUAGAGUAUAUAGUGAUGGAGGGACGCAGUAGGCUAACUAAACCAGACGAUUGGAAGUGUCUGGCCAAGCAGUGAGGUGUGAUAUGAGUCAAAUGCUUAUAUCUAUAACAUUGAGCUGUGAUGGGGAGCGAAGUUUAGUAGCGAAGUUAGUGAUGUCACACUGCCAAGAAAAGCUUCUAGCGUUAAUUAUACUCUACCCGUACCGCAAACCGACACAGGUAGUCGAGGCGAGUAGCCUCAGGUGAGCGAGAGAACUCUCGUUAAGGAACUCGGCAAAAUGGCCCCGUAACUUCGGGAGAAGGGGCGCUGACUUAUGGUCAGCCGCAGUGAAUAGGCCCAAGCAACUGUUUAUCAAAAACACAGCUCUCUGCUAAAUCGUAAGAUGAUGUAUAGGGGGUGACGCCUGCCCGGUGCUGGAAGGUUAAGAGGAGUGCUUAGCGUAAGCGAAGGUAUGAAUUGAAGCCCCAGUAAACGGCGGCCGUAACUAUAACGGUCCUAAGGUAGCGAAAUUCCUUGUCGGGUAAGUUCCGACCCGCACGAAAGGCGUAAUGAUUUGGGCACUGUCUCAACGAGAGACUCGGUGAAAUUUUAGUACCUGUGAAGAUGCAGGUUACCCGCGACAGGACGGAAAGACCCCAUGGAGCUUUAC